rnacentral:rRNA from 1 species
AACGAACGCUGGCGGCAGGCUUAACACAUGCAAGUCGAGCGCCCCGCAAGGGGAGCGGCAGACGGGUGAGUAACGCGUGGGAAUCUACCCAUCUCUACGGAAUAACGCAUGGAAACGUGUGCUAAUACCGUAUACGUCCUUCGGGAGAAAGAUUUAUCGGAGAUGGAUGAGCCCGCGUUGGAUUAGCUAGUUGGUGGGGUAAAGGCCUACCAAGGCGACGAUCCAUAGCUGGUCUGAGGGGAUGAUCAGCCACACCGGAACUGAGACACGGCCCAGACUCCUACGGGAGGCAGCAGUGGGGAAUAUUGGACAAUGGGCGCAAGCCUGAUCCAGCCAUGCCGCGUGAGGGAUGAAGGCCCUAGGGUUGUAAAGCUCUUUCACCGGUGAAGAUAAUGACGGUAACCGGAGAAGAAGCCCCGGCUAACUUCGUGCCAGCCGCCGCAGUAAUAC